CGAAGCCCACGAGUGUGUCU
rnacentral:misc_RNA from 1 species